AUGAAUUGGCAGAAUAAAUACAAGCCAUGUUUUUGUUCCCACCUACCAAGAAAGAAUAGACCUGCCUUUAUUUCACGCAGAUUUGGGAAGACUUUGAAAGUCAUUCCUCUGCUCAUACCAUGUGAUAAUGAAAGAAUGGAAGCCUCUUUGAAGAAAGUGUGGGAGGGGCAGAUCCAGACCACAGGUGAAGGAAAUGGGAAUACAACAACCAGGAGAGAAUGAAAACAUGAGAUGAAAAAUAUGGUAAGCUUAUAGGUGGAGAGUCAAGAAAGCUAUUUUGUAUUUGAUGAUUUGUAUUUUCUAAAUAUCAUAUGGAGACAUUAGCUUAUAAGUGACAGGAAAAGAUUAUAGGUGUUUGAGGAAGGAAGGUGGAUAAUUGCUGCCUUCAUAGCUACCUACAAAAGGGCAAAAAGUAUCACAGUUGAAAUAAUUAUAGCCUGGGUCCUUUCCUACCUCUCCAAUCUCAACUUACAUCAAUCUCUCUCUGGGCCACAAAGCUUCAGCCAUGCUCAUUUUAUUUCAGUACAUUCUUUCUGUCUAUGUACAAGACAUAUUUUUACCCAAUUUGGGGCUUUAGAAGACCAAUCUUUUCCAUAAAAUACUUUUCUAUCCAACCUCCACAAUUUAGAUCUCAGCAAAAAUGUUUCCUCAUGAGGGAGGCAUCAUAGGGUGUGUAUAAAGUUCCCUCUCAGGAUUUUAUAUUUAUCAUUAGUGUAUUUUAUUAUUUUUCUAAUACUAUGCCUGACAGUAGUUCUCAAUAUACAUUUGUUCAGUCAAGAAAUAGCACUUAGAACUAUCCGAUAUUUUCCUAAUGCUUAUUUCUUUAUUCAGUUUUUAUCUGUCCUUCUCUUCACCCCUUGAAAUUAUAAGUCACAUAAAAGCAAGGUCUGUUUUAGAUUUUUCACUCAUAAAUCUAGCACCUAGAACAGCUCUUGUACAUACAACAAUACCAAUGCACAUCUGUUGAUUAAAAUAUUAAAACAUAAAAUAAUGCAAGUUCAUUUUACAAGAAUUUUGUUAAAUUUAAA
rnacentral:lncRNA from 1 species